GGUGGUGUAAUGGAGUAGGACAUUCCUGCCCGGACAGCAGGAGGUGCGGGUUCGAGUCUUGCCAGUGCUA
rnacentral:tRNA from 1 species